CACCCUGAAUACACCCUAUCUCGUCUGAUCACAGAAGCUAAGCAGGUUAG
rnacentral:rRNA from 1 species